AAGACUGAGGAACAACUCAUCAACUCAGGAAAUGGGACCAUUGGAGGACCAUGUGAAUGCAGCUCAUGGCUUUACCAACAGAGUGGCCCGCGACAUGACUCUCCUCUUAGUGUGAUGGAAAAUCAUAGCCAUGUGCACCGAUCCAACUGUUAAAAAUACACUUGGCUGGUCUGCACUGGCCUACAGCUUGGAAGAUGUCCUGCCAAGGUGACAUGCCAUCCACCAUCCCCUCCACCUCCAG